UACGGAGGAUGCGAGCGUUAUCCGGAUUUAUUGGGUUUAAAGGGUGCGUAGGCGGACUGUCAAGUCAGCGGUAAAAUUGAGAGGCUCAACCUCUUCCCGCCGUUGAAACUGGUGGUCUUGAGUGGAUGAGAAGUACGCGGAAUGCGUGGUGUAGCGGUGAAAUGCAUAGAUAUCACGCAGAACUCCGAUUGCGAAGGCAGCGUACCGGCAUCCAACUGACGCUGAGGCACGAAAGCGCGGGGAUCAAACAGG
rnacentral:rRNA from 1 species